rnacentral:misc_RNA from 1 species
GAUGAAGAACGUAGCGAAAUGCGAUAAGUAAUGUGAAUUGCAGAAUUCAGUGAAUCAUCGAAUCUUUGAACGCACAUUGCGCCCGUCAGUAUUCUGGCGGGCAUGCCUGUUCGAGCGUCAUUACGCCCCUCAAGUCCCCUGUGGACUUGGUGUUGGGGAUCGGCGAGGCUGGUUUUCCAGCACAGCCGUCCCUUAAGUUAAUUGGCGGUCUCGCCGUGGCCCUCCUCUGCGCAGUAGUAAAACACUCGCAACAGGAGCCCGGCGCGGUCCACUGCCGUAAAACCCCCCAACUUUUUAUAGUUGACCUCGAAUCAGGUAGGACUACCCGCUGAACUUAAGCAUAUCAAUAAGCGGAGGA